rnacentral:tRNA from 1 species
GGAGGGGUCGCAUAGUGGUCGAGUGCACCACCUUGGAAAGGUGGCAUAUUGGAAACAGUAUCGGGAGUUCGAAUCUCCCCCCCUCCG